UAAGGGAAGCGAGAUAGUUUGUGUUGGCCAACAUAGGGCUAUGUAAACUAGAACUUGUCACGUUAACAUUAUGUUUUUUUCCUGAGUAGUUUAUGUCUGAGACUAAUAAAGCAGUAUAAUUCAGGUCAUCCCACAAAACAAUUAGCUGGGACUGGAGGCGUUUUAUCACGCUGUUGUGUGCUCCGUGUCAGAGAGAGAGGUUGGGAAAUCCUUUUGGAGACAAGAGAGUUUGGAUCAAGUGCAAUU